rnacentral:rRNA from 1 species
UACGUUCCCGGGCCUUGUACACACCGCCCGUCAAGCCAUGAAAGUCUGGUAGACCUGAAGCCGGUGCUCCGCAACGAAGCCGGUUAGGGUAGAACAGGUAAUUAGGGCU